rnacentral:rRNA from 1 species
UACGUAGGGAGCAAGCGUUGUCCGGAAUCAUUGGGCGUAAAGCGCGCGUAGGUGGCCCCGUAAGUCCGCUGUGAAAGUCAAAGGCUCAACCUUUGAAAGCCGGUGGAUACUGCGAGGCUAGAGUGCGGAAGAGGCGAGUGGAAUUCCUGGUGUAGCGGUGAAAUGCGCAGAUAUCAGGAGGAACACCAAUUGCGAAGGCAGCUCGCUGGGACGUUACUGACGCUGGAGACGCGAAAGCGUGGGGAGCAAACAGG